rnacentral:rRNA from 1 species
CAGUAGCCGCGGUAAUACGGAGGGUGCAAGCGUUAAUCGGAAUUACUGGGCGUAAAGCGCACGCAGGCGGUCUGUCAAGUCAGAUGUGAAAUCCCCGGGCUUAACCUGGGAACUGCAUUUGAAACUGGCAGGCUAGAGUCUUGUAGAGGGGGGUAGAAUUCCAGGUGUAGCGGUGAAAUGCGUAGAGAUCUGGAGGAAUACCGGUGGCGAAGGCGGCCCCCUGGACAAAGACUGACGCUCAGGUGCGAAAGCGUGGGGAGCAAACAGGAUUAGAUACCCCGGUAGUCCCUGUCUAUUAUAC